UACGGGGGGGGGCAAGCGUUGUUCGGAAUUACUGGGCGUAAAGGGCUCGUAGGUGGCCAACUAAGUCAGACGUGAAAUCCCUCGGCUUAACCGGGGAACUGCGUCUGAUACUGGAUGGCUAGAGGUUGGGAGAGGGAUGCGGAAUUCCAGGUGUAGCGGUGAAAUGCGUAGAUAUCUGGAGGAACACCGGUGGCGAAGGCGGCAUCCUGGACCGGCAUUGACGCUGAGGAGCGAAAGCCAGGGGAGCAAACGGG
rnacentral:rRNA from 1 species